CUCUCUGACUUUUGUUGAGGGGUCUGCACAGUGGCAAACUGCCCUUGGUAGCAGCCAGAACCCUCUGAGAGCUUCUCUGAUAAACGCAGCCCAUUAGAUAUGCUUAGGCUGUAGAUUGAAACCAGCUGUGAAUCUGUCGGAAAGAUUUUCCUCAUUGUGCUUUCACCAGGGUGGAAAGUUUGCGGCUUGUUCUGCAUAUAUAUGUAUUUUGGGCUUCAUCGCUCUGACUGUGCGAGCCCUAGAGCCUGCCAGUGAUAAGAGCUCUCAUGCAUACAGGCUCCUUUUGUGGGUUGGCACCCAGAGACCCUGCCUGCCUUUUGCCCAUGGACAACACAGCUUGUGCUUCGGAAGUGACAUUGUGGGCUCUUCCAAAUGGUGUCUCCCAGAUUUCAACCCCUGGUGGAUUGUACGGUGAAGGCAAGUGUGCCAUCUGUGGUUUGGGCUUGUGAAGCUUGUUGCCUGCCCAGCCUCAAGCAGCAUUUUCACCCAAGUAUAAAACAAAGCGGUGCUGAGCCUGGACGGGCCUCCAGGUUGUUGGAGGCAACCGUGGGCAUUUCAAGCGUGUUAAGCUGUCUCCUCUCUUGUCCUUCUCUUCAGUUCCUGUGUUAAGUGGGGGAGUGCAGCAAUCUGGUCUGUAUGAAGAAAAUACCUGAGGAAACCCAAGAGGAAUAUUUAUUUUGAAAGCUUCUCUCAUGAGUUUGUUUUAUCUAUUUUAAAAAAAAUUACUUUAAAAAUAAAAUAGUGUUAAAUCAUGCUGGAGAAAAGCAAUUCCAAUGUGACAGAAGUACAGCGUGCGACAAGAGCCACUUGAUACAGCUACCGGAGGAAGGGCGUGUUAUUCAGUCAAACAGAGGGUUAGAGAACGGCAUCAAAUAUACAUUUUUUAUGUUUGUUUCCACUUUCCAUUUCCCUAGUCCAUUUCUGACUGUGGAUCUCUACAGUGUUGCAUAGACAUGAGUUAUGUCUUAAUGCAUCUUGUGGAGGAAAAUAGGUAUCUAUUCGACCUUUCAAAUAUAGCCAAAAUGACUUCUGUAAGGCUACAGUAGGUCAGUGGCAGAGCUUGGAAAAGAAGUUAGGAGACAUGUUGGCUAGUUAUGUAUAUUUUAACUAGCAAACUAACCUGCUUCCCUGUAUUACAAUAGCAGUGUGAUACCCAUGUGUUCAGAAGCCCAAGCUUUGUAUUCUCCCCUGACAUGGAGAAUUUCCUGCCUAGACCUGAAGAAAAAGUUACUGUAGCUUCUCUACCACUUGUGCCCUAACCUGCUUUUUACCUCAAAUUCAAAGGGGAUUUUGAAUUGUCUUUUAGGGAAUAGGAAAUACCGGGGAUUCAAAGGGACAAAUCCAGACAGGGCAGGGAUCUGCCAUCAUGAUGACGUUAUACUGCAACUUCUGAAAAAUUAACGUAUUAUGAGAAAAAAAAAAAUUUUAAUUUUUUAACUUUGUGUUGUUUUAUUUUUCUUUCAGAAAAAAAUAUGGAGCCUUCCAUUUUAAGACUAUUUAGUUUUGAGUAAAUUCUGCAUUUCCCUUUUGUGAUUUCUUUAUCAAUUUAUAGUUUGCAUGCUUACUGCUCCCAGUCUCUUUGCUAGUCUGAGCUUGCUUGCAGACUGGUAUGUGCCACUAAGCAGCAGAAUUCUAGUUCUCUUUGAGCAGCUUGGUACAUUACGGCAGUUGUUAUCCUAUGGAAGAGGGAUGCAGUCACUCCUGUGGCUUUCAUGAGAGAAAUAGGAGAAGAGCCCAGCAAACUGAAACAAAAUUUUUCAAUUCAUGAAUACUAAAAAUUGGAAUUUCUUCCCCAAACUUUACGUUCUCAGUAAAUCAAAACCAACAUCAGAACUGCAGGGUAACAACUCCUCUCAAAGAUGGGGUCAACUGAAAAAAGACAGAAAUGGCAGCAGUCAAUAAGGGAAAUCUGGGACUUCUUCAUGUCGGGCAUUCAGUAAGGAAGAGGAAACAGCACAGGGCUAGGUCCACCAAAGAAUGUCUCUGUUCUAAUGCACCUAACGGAAUUUAUCCAGAAAAGAUGUGCUAUACUGUGCCAAGGACCAUGCCUGAGCACCUUGGGAGGGAAUGCACAAAACUCUGCACAUACCAAGGAAGAAACUGCUAGCAGGAAGUAUGUGUAUCAUGGCCCUGUUCUGACAGUAUAGGCUCAGUGAAAUGAAGAUGACAAGCAAGUUUUCUACUGUUGUACACCAUAGAAAGGACACUGAAUAAUAAUGCUGUGUCACACUUGAGGACACUGGAAUCUGGCAAAUCAGCAGUAGCUCAAUGUGCCAAGCUCCUUUGAAUGGCCUCCCCUCUACCCCUCCCUGAAUGAUGAAGGAAUCAAAAUCAAGAGUCAAGGAAACUGUGAGUUCUCAUGAAUUUUCAGCAAUGAGUCCAUAUGGGAAUAAUUUCAUUGUGAGAAGGCGGCUUCCAUUCUAUCAUGAAAAAAAGCUGCAUGGAAAUCACGGAAAGCUACAGAAGAAAGUAUCAGUUAUUGUUUGAAAGCAUUGUGGCCUAUGGAGAUGGAAACCAGAACGUGGAUUUGCCUCCAAAUUUUAUAAGCUUCAAGAAACCCAAAUGAUGAGAAACAAAUGCGAAAAGUUCACAAAAGUAGUGGUUGCUCAAAAAAAAAAAUUCUUAAAGCCUGUUGCUUUUAUUGUGAACAGACGCGGUGAGAAGGAUAUUAAUUAUCUCAAAUACCAUAAUUUAAACAGGUAGAGGUAUCCCCAGUAUUUUUUGAUUACCACCUAGAUCAGUGUUAUACUCCUCAGUUGCUGACAAUGAAGUUAUCAGCCAGUGGAUCAAAUUAUUAAGAGGAAGAGUGAGCUUACCAUUUCUUGAAGUCUUCAAAUGGAGAGUGGAUGGUGUGCUUUAGCAAACAAUGGAGACACAGCUGGGUGAAAUUAUACAGUUGUACUAAAGAGAAGGGAACAUGAGAUAUUCUAUGUGGUCCUUUCUAGCCUUAAGAGCUAUAGGUCUAUAAUUUCACAAAUACCGUUACAAAGAACUUCUUAGAUGUAAUGAUGACCAUAGCAACAAUGUGAAUCCACCUCCUGAUUUGGGGUGGAUUAUUCCAAAGUUUUUAAAAAAAUUACAGACUGUAGUACUGUUUCUACAUGUUUCUGUCACUACAAUUCAUAUUACUAGCAUAAUUUUACAGCAUUGGAAUUAUUUUUUUUUUUGAGGACUAAAGAGACCCUUCCUCUCCCCCAAAGAGCUUAAUUGUACUUCAGUUCAUGAAACAGUGUAUAAACAAGUAAGCAUGCAUGCUGCUGCUUUCCUACCUGGUGUAUUUCAGUCAUUAAAAGCUGAAAUAAGUAAGCUAAACUCAGUCAGUGGAAUAAGAGACAAUCCAUGAAGAAAAUUCCAAGACACUUCUUAUUAUUCUAGACCAUUUCUAAGCUAAACUUUAAUUUUCUCCUCCUUGUAGGGUGAUCUGUCACACUGUUUAAAAGAGAACCUUAAAAGAAGAUUAUUUUAUUUUCCCCCAUAGCAGUCCUCCAGAUGAGAAUAUCUAAACCAUUUUUUCCCCAUAUUUCCAGUGUUUUGGGGCAUUGGGCACUGCAGAAACUUAAAUCUGGCAGGGCAGUUGGAAGCUUGGGAAAGCAGUACCUGACUGAACAGCUGGACAUGAAUGAAAUAGUUCUUCAAUGUUGCGACGUGUUUUCCUUACUAUAAAGAAAGAAAGAAUUAAGUGACUACAUGCUCGGAAGAAAGAACUUGCCAUUUUGUGAUGGCUCUCAAUCAUCAUCUUUGUAAGUCCAUUGAACUGUUUCUCUGAUAAAAAACCUGCAGCCUGCAGUACAAAGGGCUUUGAGUAUAUGUGUAAUAUAUACUGUUAUCAGCAAUCACCACUAAGGUCACAAAUGAUAUUCCUUCGGUAUGGUUAAACCAUCUCAGUAAUCAUAAGACAAAGUUACUCCUGUGCCAGUAUGUCUUCUACCCACAGAGGUGGGUUUGGCAGCAUAACUAGGAUCCCAGCAUAGUUGGGAUGUCCUAACUAACACCAGAAGAUCUGAAAAAAACAUAUAGCUGUUCAACAAUUUCAGGGAAAGCUGAUGAUUUUGUGUCCAGAAUGGAUGUGCAUAAUUCCAGAGGCAGAUUUGUAGUUUUUAGAUUGUGGUCAAUGGCUGGUUACCCUUGUUUCUGUGAGUGUCUAAAGCUCUCUUCAUGGCUCACUUCUAUAUAUGUACAUUGUGCCUAAAUAAAUAUCUCAACUCUCCCUCAGCUGGAGGGCUGUCUGCAGAACGGGAUUUAGCCAAACACGGUGUGCCACUCAGAUACAAUGUAGGGCGCACAAUAUAAGAAAGCCCAGAGCAAAUUUGAUAGCAUGUCAUAUACAGGCAUUCAGAUUGCUUUAUCAAGCACUCUUUUCUGGUCCUAAGUUCCAUAAGUUUAUAACUUGCGCUGAUUCAUAUAAGUUCAACUUUCUCUUGCUACUAUGUUUUGUGCUCUUGAGAAAAGGUGAUUGGAAAAGCUGGAUAAUGAAAAAGAAGAGUGGCCCCUGACUGCACUUAAGCUUUUCAAAUAUAUUAUCCUUUAUAAAAAAAAAGCCAACCCAGUUUGUCAUAACAGUUUCAGCGUCAACAGUGAAUAAUCUAUUUGCCAUGCAAAGAAAGACCACAGUAAAAUAGAGGUGUGUGUGUUUAAAACUCUGAUUUCAUGAAUCUACAGGAACAAUUUUAGGUUGAUUUGGUGGAAGGAACUCCUCGGUUUUAUUCCCUAAGGACUAUCUGUUUAGCUCUCUUCUAAAGAGUAUAACAACAAAAAUUAAAAAACAAGGGAGGAGAAUAAGAAGUCGCUAAACAUUUGGAAGCUUUGAGGUCUAGACUUGUUUCCAUUCAUCAAGGUUGUUCUCAAAAGUAAUUUUUGAGCCACACUGCAAAGAAACUGGGAAGAGAUUGAACUGCUAAUGUUCCCUUUUCUGUGUGGAUAUACAGAAAACAGUUUUCUUGUCUCACAAGGAUUCUGUUGAUUUUGAAAUUUUAGGCCUGGCAUGGGGCUCAGUGAAUAUAUGAGUGACUUAAACAAACAAACAUAUUUCAUUUUAAUGCUGACCUUUUUUUUUUUUAACCUUUUAAUAUCAGCUAAAUUAAGUUUCAACAGGAGAAGAUGCUUUUAACCACAGAAACAAGACUUUGUUUUAAAAAUGUUGAAAAGGUACAUUUCUAGAAUUUCAAAACCCGUUUUUCCAAUUUUUUUGACGACAGGAAGCUCUUCUGGGAAUAAUUUUGGUUUUGAAUUGUGAGUUGUGACCAUCUCCUUCUCUAUGAAAGCCCUGUUCUCACUCCCAACUCUAAACCCAGGCUUCUAAUACUUUCCAGAAGUCUAAGGAAUAAAUUCCUUUCAUGAGUUGACUGAAUGGACCGUCUAUCUUGCUAGGAAGAAUCUAACGCAAAAAUUGCCCUGCAGCCAGAGGAGCCACUCUGCAGGCUGGAGAUGGAGGAGCCCCCAGUGUUGGAAUGGAGGUGCCAAGGGCUAGGUGAUCACAAGAGGAAAACCAGGAAGAGUCAAGACUAACGCCUUCUGCAGAUCAUGCAGUACAUUAGAAUUGAGACUUCCCCUGCUUUCAGUAUGUGCUACAGCGGUCUGUAGAAAAUGAAGCUUUCUGCCAACGGUGGAUAAAAACAUAGGUAGGAAUAAUUACUGAGAAUGCUGAAAGAUGUGCAUGACAGCCUACCCUGUAUCUGCUGUCGUGCUACAACCUGUAGAAUCAUGGUGGAAUGUACUGGCAAAAAUCAAGAUGUCAACUGAGAGUUGUGGCACUUGCUACAGCACUGUAUUUAAUCCCCAGGAUUUUUGUCAUGUGUUGCCACCAACCUGGUAUUGGCUGAAGACUGAGAAUGGUAGACGUCAAAGAUCAUCUCUGUGGUCUUACAAAGCUGCCAUUUCUGUGUUCUCCGCAACAGCCUUGGGACACCUCCUGCCAGCAUCCCUGGCAUCACUUCUUGCCUUUAAACCUGUAGUCUAGCUAAAGGCUGUGCCACAGUGGAUGCCUUAGAACGACGUGUUUCAGCGGAUGAAGAAUGCAGUUGUCCUAGUGUACCUCAGAGAUUCAGGUCCUGAUCCUUUCCUGACAUGCAAUCCUCACAAGUAUUUUUAAGACUUGGGAAGAUCUACAGGCAGCAGUGCUAUAAUGAUACACAUGACAUCUUGUGUAAGGCUGAAAAGCUGU